CAGUCGUACCUGCGGACAAUCAGCUUUUGAGUGUGAUUAUGUGGUUUAUGAGGAGUUUAACCGCCCUCAUGUUUUACAUAUUCGUGCUCUUGGGUGUACUUGCCCGUGUGGUAGGUUAACAUCAAUUUUGGUCGUCAUAAAAUGACUGGAGGAUGUAGCUUCGGUCUCGUAUCGAAGUGUUAUAGACUCU
rnacentral:rRNA from 1 species